rnacentral:rRNA from 1 species
GCCUGAUCAGCCUGCCGCGUGUGUGAAGAAGGCCUUCGGGUUGUAAAGCCCUUUUGUCGGGAAAGAAAAGCUUUCGGUUAAUACCCGGGGGUCCUGACGGUACCGGAAGAAUAAGCACCGGCUAACUUCGUGCCAGCAGCCGCGGUAAUACGAAGGGUGCAAGCGUUACUCGGAAUUACUGGGCGUAAAGCGUGCGUAGGUGGUUUGUUAAGUCUGAUGUGAAAGCCCUGGGCUCAACCUGGGAAUUGCAUUGGAUACUGGCCGGCUAGAGUGCGGUAGAGGAUGGUGGAAUUCCCGGUGUAGCAGUGAAAUGCGUAGAGAUCGGGAGGAACAUCUGUGGCGAAGGCGACUAUCUGGACCAACACUGACACUGAGGCACGAAAGCGUGGGGAGCAAACAGGAUUAGAUACCCUGGUAGUCCACGCCCUAAACGAUGCGAACUGGAUGUUGGGAGCAAUUUGGCUCUCAGUAUCGAAGCUAACGCGUUAAGUUCGCCGCCUGGGGAGUACGGUCGCAAGACUGAAACUCAAGG